CAUGAGCAUUUUAGAAGAACAAAUAAGAGAAAUUCUCAACAAACAAGGGUCUGUGAAUGGGUUUGUAAAUUAUCUUUCUAAAAUUAAAAAUAGAGAUGUGAAAUACUUUCUUAAGAUUGGCAACAAACUACUGAAAUUUAUUAUAGGCCAUCUUUCUAAGAUUGGCAAUCCAAAAUCAUUGGAAUUUAUCAAUCCAAUAUUCAA
rnacentral:lncRNA from 1 species